ACCACAACAGGUGGAGCCUGCGGUUUAAUCGGACUCAACGCCGGGAAGCUCACCGGAUAAGACAGCGGAAUGAUAGCCGGGCUGAAGACUCUGCUUGACUAGCUGAGAGGAGGUGCAUGGCCGUCGUCAGUUCGUACUGUGAAGCAUCCUGUUAAGUCAGGCAACGAGCGAGACCCACGCCAACAGUUGCCAGCAUGUCCUCCGGGAUGGUGGGGACACUGUUGGGACCGCCUCUGCUAAAGAGGAGGAAGGAAUGGGCAACGGUAGGUCAGCAUGCCCCGAAUUAUCCGGGCUACACGCGGGCUACAAUGGUCAGGACAAUGGGCAUCAACACCGAAAGGUGAAGGCAAUCUCUUAAACCUGUCCUUAGUUCGGAUUGUGGGCUGCAACUCGCCCACAUGAAGCUGGAAUCUGUAGUAAUCGCGUCUCAAAAUGGCGCGGUGAAUAUGUCCCUGCUCCUU
rnacentral:rRNA from 1 species